AAUGAACGUUGGCGGCGUGGAUUAGGCAUGCAAGUCGUGCGCGAACUGUAGCAAUACAGGGAGAGCGGCGAAAGGGAGAGUAAUACAUAGGUACCUACCCCCGGGCCUGGGAUAGCGGCGGGAAACUGCCGGUAAUACCAGAUAAUGUCCCCGGACCAAAGAUGUGAUUUCACCUGGGGCGGGGCCUAUGGCCUAUCAGCUUGUUGGCAGGGUAACGGCCUACCAAGGCAAAGACGGGUAUGGGGCGUGAGAGCGUGCCCCCACUCACUGGGAUUGAGACACUGCCCAGACACCUACGGGUGGCUGCAGUCGAGAAUCUUCGGCAAUGGGCGCAAGCCUGACCGAGCGACGCCGCGUGCGGGAUGAAGGCCUUCGGGUUGUAAACCGCUGUCGUAGGGGAGGAAGGGCCUGUGAAGAACAGGACUUGACCGAUCCUAGGAGGAAGGGCCGGCUAGUCUCGUGCCAGCCGCCGCCGUAAUAC
rnacentral:rRNA from 1 species